UUUUAGUUAUAAAACUAACUGGUAUAAUUUUGCUAGUAUAGUUUAAAGAUAUUUACUUGUUUUCAUAAAGGCCUGGACGUGCGCUUAUUAAUAAUAGUUCAUUCUCACAACAAACAUUAUAUUAAUUAUGUUACAAUAUCGCAUGAGAUUGUCUAUUAUCGGAGACGGAUUUUUUCACGAACUUUAAACUGUUCAAGAUAAAAAUGCAUUCUAUACACAUGUAUAAAUUAUUCUAAAUUCACAUAGAUCUUCUCUUCUACACAUGCUGUCUAUUAGUCACACAUUCGCGAGAUAAGCCUGCAUCGGUUUACACAGUCUUCCUGUAAUUUGAUAUUUACUGGGAUAAGAUAGAGCAAGUUUAUAGAAACUUUACACAAAGGGAAGGAUCCGCAACGUGGAAAUGUUGGCGGAGUUGAAGAUUCAUACAAAAAUGACGAAACUUGAAAGUUUCAAUUACUGCAUUACUUUUUGGACUUAUUGUAUUAGACUUACGUCGCCAUAAUAUGAAAUAAAGAUGAUAAAAUA
rnacentral:lncRNA from 1 species